AGUUCCAAUUUCUUCAUUCAGCUGUACUGCUGCCUGCUUGCGAGAAGUGAGCUAGUUCUUGGUCACUGGAAUGCCCUUCAGCGUCAGUAAAUAGUCACCUAUUCUCGUUACUGCUGUAGGUUCCAACGAUGAUUCAGGCGGUUUGUUCCACUUAUAUUGGCUUUCAAGGCUUGCUGGCUAACGGUAAUUUGUCAUUGUUUUAUGCGAAUAAGUUUGCUGCAAUGCUUUAGCACUGUGUAUAAUUAAGCUGUUUUGCUAAUAGGUUGAUAUCAUGGGGCCAUUGCAACAGAAAAAUACUUCAGUUGUGUUGAUUAGAUAUGCCAUCAGUUAGUCCAGUCGGUGCUGAUUAUGCUGAUACAUUCAUGACACGGUUAUAUUCAGCCAGUGUACCAUUUAUUAGUAGUUGUAUAGCAGGUACUCUGUUAGUCUUGCCCCUGUUCCCAAACAAACUCUUUUAGCGGUCACACUUGUUAGAUAUUAUUUCGGGGUGUUUGAAUGUACUAGACCUAAUAGUUAGUAGCUAAAAUUAGUUGAAGAGAUUCAAACACCCUAGCUAAUAGUUCAACUAUUUGUUAGCUAAUAAUUCAACUAUUAGUUAUUUUUAGUAAAUUAGUUAAUAUUUAGCUAGCUAUUUGUUAGCUAGAUACUUGCACUAGCAAAUUUUUAGCCAGCUAACUAUUAGCUCUAAUGCAUUCAAACACCCUAUUAGUGUAUCUGUACGAAGUCUCUUGAGUUGUGGCACCGAUAGGUUGCAUUCUGAGGCAUCAUUAGAGUAUACCCACCUAUUUUUGUGCCAAAAUGCCAUGCCAUGGAUCACAUCUCAGUACUAGCCAUGUCAAAGAAACGUUCUUUCAUCCUCAGGCAUCAAAUGAUGGAAUUUUAGUAUGUCACUGAAUUGCAGGAACAAUAUUCCCGAAGUAUCGCAAUGCCUUCAUCGCAACUCCUUGAGUGAUCCCAUCAUUCUAAAGAUAUAUGUAAGAAUUGGAAGUUCAAAAUUGGUCCGCCUAGAAUUUCUGUGCAUCUUAGAGCAUCUCCAAGAGGGGUCUUAUUAAACAAGGUUGUAUAUUGAAAUAUAGGGCUUGGGACCUAAGAGCAACUCCAGUAGUUCUCUAAAAGACUUCCUAAAUCAAUAAUUUAGGUAGUUAACAUGAAAACUAUUCUCCAACAGUUCUCUAAAUGAACUUUCUAAAUUUAACAACUUGUCAUCUAACCUCAUUUUCUCUCUACAUUUGGCAACCAUUUAACAACUCCCUAAACAAAAAUGUUGACUGCAUUAUAUAGUUUUUGUGACUUAUUUUUUAUGUGGAUAAAUACAAAACAAAAUUACAACCUAUAUUUAGAGAACUAUUGGAGAACUCAUAUUUUUUUACUCUAAAAGUCAUUUAGCAACUUCUUAAAUCUGUAAUUUAGAGAGCUAAAAUUUACAUAACUAUUGGAGUUGCUCUAAGCGGUGACCCUAUUUCAUCAAAAUUUAUCAAAUGAUUAUAGGGUUUGGCAUCUGAGGUUCUAAAUAUAGUAUCACAUAUAUUGAAGUCCUAUCCUUAUUUUCUCUUAAUCUACAACUAUUUAUUUUCUUAGAUAGCAUUAUUUGAGGCCAAACUGUUGGAGUAAAUUUCUUUUGAGGCACUAAACACUUUAAUAAUGGUUCUAUUUCAAUUCUAAGGCGCUAUUUUAGAGUUCUUUGUUAGAGAUGCUCCAUGUAAAACUUACUCCCUUUGGUGUCCUAUUAGUUGUUGUUUUGGAUAAGGUUUGAGUCAAACUUAUAAAAUUUUGACUAUAAAUAAUUUUUUGUUGUUUAUUUUUGAAAUCUAAUAUUUAUAUGCAUCGAUUUAUAUUAAAAAGUAUUUUUUUUAUAAAAGUAUAAAUGAAUUAAGAGUUUAUUUGUAUAUUUUUUUAAAUAUUUGUCAAAGUUAUAUUUUGGAGACCGUCUAAACGACAACUAAUAGAACACCGAAGUGAGUAAUCUUUAGCCAAGCGUGUUGCUUUUUUUACUUGCAGGGAGCAGACAAUGCUAAGCCUCGUGGUCACGGUGUGUUUCGAUUCGACUGGCUACAGGUGUUCGGACGGCUACAAAUGCAAUACAUAAAGAUAAAAUACUAAAAUAGUUAUAGCCGCAGUCGGAUUAAGCCACAGUCAGGAUUAAAACCGUAGUAAACAGCCAUGGUUGAGCGCUUGGGAAGGACAUCAUCCGCUUGGAAUCUUCAGGUCUUUGAAGUAGCGAAGUUUGACGGCAAAGAAACUACCUGGACUAGCCACUGUAAGGUGUAGAUGGAUAUUACUUGUUUUGUUUCUAUAUUUUCUCUCCGGAUUCGGAUAUAAAUAUAAAUAUUAUCGAGUUUUGGCGGUUCGAGUGACUAUUGAUAUUUUAUAUAUUUACUAGUCAGUUG
rnacentral:lncRNA from 1 species